GUUUGCACUUGUCGGGGAAGGGUGAGAACCUUCGAUUAAGGUUCGACUCGAGCGAAAGCGAGAGAACGUUGCCAACGGCAACGGCCCGUAGGGUGAGGAGCGAAGCGACGAAUAAUCCUUCCCCCACCGCCA
rnacentral:sRNA from 11 species